GACGAACGCUGGCGGCGUGCCUAAUACAUGCAAGUCUCAGGGGUGUGCACCCUUCGGGGUGUACAUCACUGGCGCACGGGUGAGUAACGCGUAAGUUAUCUGCCCUUGGGUCUGGCAUAACCUCGGGAAACCGGGACUAAUUCCAGAUGGUACCGAAAGGUCAAAGCUUCGGCGCCCAAGGAUGAGCUUGCGUCUGAUUAGCUUGUUGGCGGGGUAACGGCCCACCAAGGCGACGAUCAGUAGCCGGUCUGAGAGGAUGAUCGGCCACAUUGGGACUGAGACACGGCCCAGACUCCUACGGGAGGCAGCAGUAAGGAAUAUUGCGCAAUGGACGAAAGUCUGACGCAGCAACGCCGCGUGCAGGAUGAAGGCCCUUUGGGUUGUAAACUGCUGUAGCAGGGGAAUAAGUUCUCCCUCGGGGAGAGUGAAGGUACCCUGAAAGUAAGCGCCGGCUAACUACGUGCCAGCAGCCGCGGUAAUACGUAGGGCGCAAGCGUUGUCCGGUA
rnacentral:rRNA from 1 species